rnacentral:rRNA from 1 species
AGUGAACGCUGGCGGCGUGCCUAAUACAUGCAAGUCGAACGGAGAUUAAGUAGCUUGCUAUUUAAUCUUAGUGGCGCACGGGUGAGUAAUAUAUAGCUAACUUGCCCAUUACUAAGGGACAACAGUUGGAAACGACUGCUAAUACCUUAUACUCCGUAUCUAUAUAAGUAGAUACGGGAAAGUUUUUCGGUAAUGGAUAGGGCUAUAUCGUAUCAGCUAGUUGGUAAGGUAAUGGCUUACCAAGGCUAUGACGCGUAACUGGUCUGAGAGGAUGAUCAGUCACACGGGAAGGGAGACACGGACCGGCCCCCCGCGGGAGCAGGAAGGAGGAAUAUUUGCUCAAGGGGGAAACCCCUGAAGCACCACCCCCGGGGGGAGGAGCACUUUUUUCGGAGGAAAACCUCCUUUUCUGGGAAAAAAAUUAUGACGGUCCCAAAGAAAAAAGCCCCGGCAAACCCCGUG